CUAAUUCUAAAUUAAAUAACGACGGGACUGAAUCUCGUCCCUCUUAUUAUAAAAUUCGCGUCCCUAAUAUGCAGAAUAGAGCGGGAGUGCGAGACUUGAGGUGCCGCCCAAAUUUUCUUCUAAAAUUUCAUAUUUUUAUAAUUAUAGAGAGAUGGAAACCUAGAAAAAAAUAAAGAAAUAGAAACACUUAAAAACAUUCCCCAAGUCGUCAUUUAGGAACUAAGGUUUACUCCCCAUCUCUUAGCGUUUCUCUCAAAAUCUCCAAACCCUUAUCACUUUGACAACCAGUUCUGGUGUUUCAUCUAAAUCUCUUCUUGAUUUCAUUGUUCAAAGUGACGAUUUCCAUCAUCAAUCUGUUCACGACUAUUCUACAGAUUAUUCAUUUUUGCUGAGUUAUUUUGGGUAAUUUUUUCCAUUACCAACUAAAGUUGGAUCUGUGCGAUUGAGUUGGCAUUUUGUGAUUCAACAAGUUGUUUUUAUGGCGAGGCUGUAUCUAUGAGCCGUUUUGUGAAGAAGAGCUCGCGUGUUAUUCAUUUCAGCCUCCGCAGUGAGACGGGAAGGAGUUGUUUCAUUGUGGUCUGAGGCACUUCUAAGAGUAUUAGCUUGAAAUUCAUUUGAUUACCUUUACGACUUGCUUAAGAGAAGAAGUGUUCCAAUCAUCAGUUAGUGUUCCUUUCUUCCACUUACUAUUUUACACUUGCUGGGUUUUGCUGUUAAUGCUUGUGGGUUUUGUUUCAUUUCAUUUAUGGGCGCAAUGAGUGAUUUUUGGUAUUUAUUUUCAUUGUUGCUCUUCAUUUUAUUGAUGGAUACAUGUUAUCCCUGUUUUUGCUGAAACUGGGUGUUUAUUUUAUAGUGCGCUUCUUGAUCUUAUUAUACACAUGUCAAAUAUUGCUACUAACCACUCCUUUACGUACUAAAAGGAAGCUUUAAUCAAUAGGAUUAUUGUACUUUGUUACCAAUUGAUAUUAGGUGAGGUGCUUAACUGAGCUUGCAAGUGUAAGGUGAUUAUCAGGUUCAUGUAGCUUUUUUUUAAUAUGAGUUAUAGUUAUGUUUGCUAGAAGAAAUUAAACUUGUAAAUUUAUUAGAUAGUGGCUAUUUCAAGUGGUGAAAAAAUGUUUGCUGCUAGUCCUCUAGCAGAUGGAUUGAAGUUAUAGGAAAAAAGUAAAUAUUCAUCUGCGCAAAGCCUUUGUGAAAAUGAUAAAUUGAUAUUGGUAAUUUUAAAUAUGUUGUUAUAUGGUUCUAAGACAUGUUUUAAAGAAAAUAUUGAACGUUAGGGAAAUGUGGUAUUAAAGUUGAACACCUUGAAAGAGAUGAACGUGUUUCUGGUUUCUCCACAAAGAGGGUAUUGAAUAAGUGCAUCAGUGUUCUACUUAUGGUUCUAUAAGAUUUUAUGAAGAUAUUUGAUCUUGGUGCAAUGAUUGUUAAGGUUAUUUAUUGAUGAAGGUGGAGGUUCAUUUGUGAGGGAUGUUGCACUGAUGAAAUGAUAGACUUCCUUCUUACAAUCUAUAUCAAUUUUUAAUUUUUCCUUGUUCUCUUUAUCCACUUUUAUUGAUUUCAUUGAUAGUUCUUAAUUUGUUUUUGCUACUCAUGCAAAUACAAUUUAUUUUUGGACUGAAACUCAACCUUACACUGUAUAUCAUGUCAUAACCAUUUAGUUGAAACUUUAGUCUUCUAUUCUCUGCAUCUCCAUGUCAUAUGUGACUCUGAAGUUCGCAUGUAUCUUCAUGAUAUAAUUUUAUAACAGUUUGGGAUGCAUUUCUUAGGUUCUCAAAUAUGGUUUUAUUUUUGUUGUAACACUACAACUUUUCAUGUAGUAAAUCUCAAACUCUCAUCUGGUUAUGUACUCUUUUUACUUUUAUGAACAAUUUAUACCCUCUGACAUGGGAUUAUCAACCAAUAGAGUAUUCUUGACAAGGUGUGCAUUCCCAAAGCCACUUACUCUUUAUCUCUCACUUUGUGUUUAGCGGCAAAAUCGAAGCUCCCUGUGUGAAAGCAGAAUGCGAAAAAAGGAGUAAGUUCAGUAGCUGAAAACAAUGCCAUUUGAAGUUAGCACAACUUGAGCUGAAACUUGAGAAAGUUAGGCAGCAGGUUGCGUGGAGCACUUACAACUUGGGGUGUAAUAUGGUCUUGAAGACUUCAGUUUACAAGUGAAGAUGUAGAUUUUAGAGACUUCAAGUUGACAAGCUAAUUAGCAUUUGCCUAGAACUAUAGACAAUAAUAUUCAUUUAUUUGCAACUGAUGUUAAUUUGUUUUCUUCAUUUACAGUACAAAUGGAAUGUUAAUCCUUUC